GUGAUAGCUGGGGCAGAAGGCAGACAAGGUCUGUAUAUACAGUGUGCAGGUGUCCUGGGCAGGAGGGGGGAUAUCACGAUAGUCUGAGCCUGAGGGCCUGAUGAGGAGUGAGGGGCAGGUGCAGGUCUGUAAGGAGAAAAGUGAGAUGAAAUUCAUCCGGAUUCGAGACAUUUAAUCACAAUCAGCAAAUAUGUACGAAACAGAUUUACAUUUCUAAAAUAUUUUCCAAGAAUAUUUGGCAACGGUGUAGCAUCGUCCUUUCCCCGGUGUCGCUUGAUUGUGGCGCACUGCAGGUGAUACCUGUACAGCAGUAACAAAAUGGUG